GUGGGUGGAGCUCUUGGGUUAACUCAACAUGUUCCGUCACAUGUGGAAAUGGUAUUUUAUCCAGAAAACGAACUUGUGACAGCCCAAUACCUUCCGUCGGUGGAAAAAAUUGUGAAGGGUCUAAUGAAGAAUCAGUAGAAUGCAGCUUAACUAAUUGUCAAGAAUUAUGUAAGGAAUCUGGAAAGAAAUCAGAAUCAAAGAGAUUGAAAGCAAGAAAAUGGAAAAGAUAUUUGUAUAGACAACUGAAUAGAAGAGGAGCUACACGCAAUCACUAACGUGUACUUUUUGCCUUGUUACUAAGGGAAGAUGCAGGACAAUGGAACUACUGUUUCUCAAAUGAAUUAAGAGGGAUUUUGUCUAA